rnacentral:rRNA from 1 species
UACGUAGGGGGCGAGCGUUGUCCGGAAUCAUUGGGCGUAAAGAGCUCGUAGGCGGCUCAGAAAGUCGGCUGUGAAAUUCCAGGGCUCAACCCUGGGACUGCAGUCGAUACUGCUGUGGCUAGAGUCCGGUAGAGGAGAGUGGAAUUCCCGGUGUAGCGGUGAAAUGCGCAGAUAUCGGGAGGAACACCAGCAGCGAAGGCGGCUCUCUGGGCCGGAACUGACGCUGAGGAGCGAAAGCGUGGGGAGCAAACAGG